rnacentral:rRNA from 1 species
CCUACGGGGGGCUGCAGUGGGGAAUCUUGCACAAUGGAGGAAACUCUGAUGCAGCGAUGCCGCGUGAGUGAAGAAGGCCCUUGGGUUGUAAAGCUCUUUCGUCGGGGAAGAAAAUGACUGUACCCGAAUAAGAAGGUCCGGCUAACUUCGUGCCAGCAGCCGCGGUAAUACGAAGGGACCUAGCGUAGUUCGGAAUUACUGGGCUUAAAGAGUUCGUAGGUGGUUGAAAAAGUUGGUGGUGAAAUCCCAGAGCUUAACUCUGGAACUGCCAUCAAAACUUUUCAGCUAGAGUAUGAUAGAGGAAAGCAGAAUUUCUAGUGUAGAGGUGAAAUUCGUAGAUAUUAGAAAGAAUACCAAUUGCGAAGGCAGCUUUCUGGAUCAUUACUGACACUGAGGAACGAAAGCAUGGGUAGCGAAGAGGAUUAGAUACCCGAGUAGUC